UGCACCCUCUGGAGCCUAUCUGCAUUUCAGCCACUCUGGGCAUGAACGCAGCCGCUAGUUCUCCGGGCAGAGGAACUGCACUCCUGCCUCUGAAGAAUGAAAGACCAAGAGGCCGUUUUGUCCAAAAUGUAUCUAAUCGUGUAGUGCACGAGAGAUGAGGUCUGUAUACAUAUUGUUCUAAAAGGCCUACUGAAAGGCCUUUAUUGAAGCAUUGAUAAUGCAGCCUGACUCUGACAUCGAAGGGGAAUGAAGAAAUAAAUAUUAUAAUAAGGACUGAAA